rnacentral:rRNA from 1 species
AUUGAACGCUGGCGGCAGGCCUAACACAUGCAAGUCGAACGAGAGGCGGACGGGAGAGUAAUGACUGGGCAACUGCCUGAUGGAGGAGGUAAAGUACUGGAAACGGUAGCUACAACCGCACACAAUCAGAUGUGCCCGGAUGGGAUUAGCUAGUGGGUGGGGUAAAGGCUCACCAAGGCGACGAUCCCUAGCUGGUCUGAGAGGAUGACCAGCCACACUGGAACUGAGACACGGUCCAGACUCCUACGGGAGGCAGCAGUGGGGAAUAUUGCACAAUGGGCGCAAGCCUGAUGCAGCCAUGCCGCGUGUAUGAAGAAGGCCGUCGGAUUGUAAAGUACUUUCAGCGGGGAGGCGUUACCCGCAGAAGAAGCACCGGCUAACUCCGUGCCAGCAGCCGCGGUAAUUC